rnacentral:rRNA from 1 species
GACGAACGCUGGCGGCGUGCCUAAUACAUGCAAGUAGAACGCAGUUGCGAACGGGUGAGUAACGCGUAGGUAACUGCCUCAUAGCUGAGGAUAACUAUUGGAAACGAUAGCUAAUACCGCAUACUGUGAGAUGUACCUGCGUUGUAUUAGCUAGUUGGUGCGGUAAAGGCUCACCAAGGCGACGAUACAUAGCCGACCUGAGAGGAUGAGUGGCCACCCUUGGACUUAGACACGCCCCAGUCGUCUACGUGAGGCAGCAGUACUGAAUCUUCAGCAAUGGACGUAAUUUAUAACGAGCAACGCCGCGUCAGUUAACAAGGUUUUCGGAUCCUAAAUCUCUGUUGUUAGAUAAUCGGUAACUAACCAGAAAGGGACGGCUAACUACGUGCCAGCAGCCGCGGUAAUAC